rnacentral:tRNA from 1 species
GUCCCUGUAGCGCAAUGGAUAGCGUGUUAUACUUCUAAUCUAAAGGUCGUGGGUUCGAAUCCCACCUGGGGGG